ensembl:lncRNA
CAAAAAUGUUUUAAGUGUUCAAGCUGUUAAAACGGUGCACUCAGGUUUAACAUCUUAAUUUCUUACAGAAAACUAGAACCAUAAUACAAGGUCACCUUGAAAGUGAAAGCUAAUAGCUUCAGCAAAACUGCCUGCUGGAAACCUUCAUUUAUCAAAGCUGUUGGAUAGUUUCAGGAUAAAGUAAUAAAAACUGAGACAAACUGGUUCUCAAAAUCCAUUUAUUAAAUCUUGUGCAGGUCUUGAUCUUGUACAGUUCGAAGCAGCAGAACUUCUGGAACAUGAGACCUGCAACACAAACAGUUAGUCAGCUGGCAGCAGAUCCACAGAGCAGAUGCUGAGAACUCAGAGCCUCACCUCAAACAUGUUCAGUAGGCUUUGACUGGAACUUGGUCACCCUUUGGAGGAAGGUAGCCCUGUGGAGGCAGGUAGCCUGGGUAGCUGAACACUGGACUGUACAGAGAGUCAGUGGGGACGUAGCGGGUCUGAGAGAAAUGGGCUCUUCCUCUCCUGUAGCGGGACCGAGAGUGGAAGUUGUAGACUGGAUCCAGAUCGGACACGUCAGUGAAGAAGGGCCCAUCAGGGGUCUGGUCAGAGGUUAUUAUCCGGGACCCUGGGUCAGCGGACCAACAAGUCCUGACCCGACCGUCCCCACUACAACCACCAAACCCGACCAGCAGCUCAAGUAUGUCUAUGGCGGCUAUCCAGGCGUCUAUGGCGGUUAUCCAGGCGUCUACAGCUACCAGAGCACUGACCAGACCUCUGACCAGACCCCUGAUGGGCCCUUCUUCACUGAUGUGUCCGAUCUGGAUCCAGUCUACAACUUCCACUCUCGGUCCCGCUACAGGAGAGGAAGAGCCCAUUUCUCUCAGACCCGCUACGUCCCCACUGACUCUCUGUACAGUCCAGUGUUCAGCUACCCAGGCUACCUGCCUCCACAGGGCUACCUUCCUCCAAAGGGUGACCAAGUUCAAGUCAAAGCCUACUGAACAUGUUGGAGGUGGGGCUCUGAGCUCAUGAAUUGUUCUAUGGAUUUGCUGCCACCUGACUGUUGCAGGUCUCCAUGUUCUAGAAGUUCUACUGCUGCUUCUAACUGUACAAGAUUUAAUAAAUGAUUUUCAGAACUAGCCUUUGUCUCAGUCUUCAUCACUUGAUCCUGAACAUGUCUGACAGCUGUGCUAAAUGAAGGCUUCUUACAGGCAGCAUUGCAUGACUAUUAGCUUUAGUCUUCAAGCAUUUAAAAGCUGCAUCUUGUCUCUGAAGGUCCCGGUAGUGAUUUAGGGAGAAGAACUGGAUCUAAACAUCUCUGUUGGGCCUGCUUCACAUUACAGCCUGCGUGUUUGAGAUUAUUUCUGCUGCUUUUUUUUUUUUUUUUUUUUUUAAAAACCUGAGGUCAAAGUUUUUCCCCAGCUUGUAUGCUUUGAAACCUGUUUGCUUAUGUAAUGUACUUCGAACAUGCCAUCAGCACUUGGUAAGGUGAAGGCCAUUCCAAAUUUGACUGGAAAGAACCCAAACUUCACUGACGCAGCCAUCUGCCUCAACUGUUAUG